UUGCAUCUCUGUUCCAGCUGUUUCACCCGUUUACAUAAAUUAUUCUCACGAUACAAUAUCACAGCGUCUAAACUAAACGAAAACAUUGGAAAGGCAAAAAUGCAAACUUUCAAGUUGUAACUUUUAAGUACUAUACAUGACCUGUUUAACCGUAUCACAUAAGGAGAGUCAGCCGAGUCAGUCAUACUAUACAGACAACAAGUCAACAAGUUCCUUCUGGGUUAAACGGAAUCUUCAGAAGAGAAACCAUGAUCCAUACUAUGAGUAAGAUUGUCAAACAAUUGAAAAUAGAGGAAAGCAAAAGAAGAGUUAAACGUUGAACGAAGAAGUUUGGAUUAGAUUGGACAUUUCUUCGCCACAAUAUAAAUCAUUACGUGAUGGUAAACGAGUUGAAUGAUUAUAGUCGCCUUCAGUAUAUUUAGCGUAAUUGCAAGUUCGACAUUGGUUUUAUAUAGCGAAUGCUCGACAUUGGUUGAUUG